AGGGCACCACCAGGAGUGGAGUCUGCGGCUUAAUUUGACUCAACACGGGGAAACUCACCCGGCCCGGACACCGGAAGGAUUGACAGAUUGAUAGCUCUUUCCUGAUUCGGUGGAUGGUGGUGCAUGGCCGUUCUUAGUUGGUGGAGCGAUCUGUCUGGUUAAUUCCGAUAACGAACGAGACUCUAGCCUAUUAAAUAGACGUCGGGUUCUCUGCACUCGACGGUCUUCUUAGAGGGACAAGGUGCUUUUAGCACCGCGAAACAGAGCAAUAACAGGUCUGUGAUGCCCUUAGAUGUCCGGGGCCGCACGCGCGCUACACUGAAGGAAGCAGCGUGUAACAACCUUGUUCUAACGAACUGGGUAACCCGUGGAACUUCCUUCAUGAUUGGGAUAGGGGUUUGCAAUUGUGCCCCUUGAACGAGGAAUUCCCAGUAAACACUAGUCAUCAGCUAGUGCUGAUUACGUCCCUGCCCUUUGUACACACCGCCCGUCGCUACUACCGAUUGAAUGGUUUAGUGA
rnacentral:rRNA from 1 species